CACGUAGGGUGCGAGCGUUGUCCGGAAUUAUUGGGCGUAAAGAGCUCGUAGGCGGUUUGUCGCGUCUGCUGUGAAAACUCGGGGCUUAACUCCGGGCCUGCAGUGGGUACGGGCAGACUAGAGUGCGGUAGGGGAGACUGGAAUUCCUGGUGUAGCGGUGAAAUGCGCAGAUAUCAGGAGGAACAUCAGUGGCGAAGGCGGCUGCCUGGCCCAAUACUGACACUCAGGUGCGACAGCGUGGGGAGCAAACAGG
rnacentral:rRNA from 1 species